CCUAUCGUUCCGGUAAGUUUUCUUGUAAUUGUCCUAUUUAUAGUUAAAUCCCCCUCUCACACUAUUGUAAAGCGCCAUGGAAUCUACAGGGAGUGCAGAAUUAUUAGGCAAGUUGUAUUUUUGAGGAUUAAUUUUGUUAUUGAACAACAACCAUGUUCUCAAUGAACCCAAAAAACUCAUUAAUAUCAAAGCUGAAUAUUUU